rnacentral:rRNA from 1 species
CGUGCCAGCAGCCGCGGUAAUACGUAGGGUGCGAGCGUUAAUCGGAAUUACUGGGCGUAAAGCGUGCGCAGGCGGUUUUGUAAGACAGGCGUGAAAUCCCCGGGCUCAACCUGGGAACUGCGUUUGUGACUGCAAGGCUAGAGUACGGCAGAGGGGGGUGGAAUUCCACGUGUAGCAGUGAAAUGCGUAGAGAUGUGGAGGAACACCAAUGGCGAAGGCAGCCCCCUGGGUCGAUACUGACGCUCAUGCACGAAAGCGUGGGUAGCAAACAGGAUUAGAUACCCUGGUAGUCCACGCCCUAAACGAUGUCAACUAGGUGUUGGGUGGGUAAAACCAUUUAGUACCGGAGCUAACGCGUGAAGUUGACCGCCUGGGGAGUACGGCCGCAAGGUUAAAACUCAAAGGAAUUGACGGGGACCCGCACAAGCGGUGGAUGAUGUGGAUUAAUUCGAUG